rnacentral:snoRNA from 1 species
UCCCUUCAAAAAGCACUUGUUGGGUCCGUUUUCCGAUGGCCCAGGAAGUUGUCGUGGAAGGGUAAAGAAACAGCAUUACUUUUGGGUGAGGUUGCAGCUUGUGCUGUUGUUCCUCAAUCGGUGAUGCAACAGAA